ensembl:lncRNA
GAAAAUUCAUGGGGAAGAGGAAAGUACUUUAUACCAAGUUCAGCAGGUUUUGUGGCUGGUGAUUAAUCCCUUUGUGAAAAAUGGCAAUUUUAACACUGACAUGAGUAAUCACACCUUUUCUUUCCACCGCAGUUUAGCAUUUCCUGCUGUAAUAAUUCAGGCCUAAUACUUCAUUCAAGGAAGCAGAAGUGUCAGCAGGCUAUUCGUUUUCUCCUCAUUGACCCAUUUGUGUCUUCAUACUCUCAGUCUGAAGCUGCCACAUUGUGGGAGCACAUUCGUGAUUCAUGCUGGACAUCCACUGAAAUUCUGAAAGGGCAUUGCCAAGAAGGACCUCCUUCAAAGGACAAUUCCUCAACGUGGUGACAACUCAAUGACCCAGCAACUUGGUCAUGAUCUCUUGAGCUGGGAAGUCCCCCGAUCAUAGAUUUUCAAGGCCGCUGUCUAUGGAAAGGUUGGAAGAAAGAAGAAGUCCAGGGUCCAGGCUCAAGUCUCUGGGGUUCUCAUCCUAGUUCUGUUGUCUAAUUUUGCUAAACUUUUUGACCUCCCUGGGCUUGUGUUUUCUCAUCUGUGCUAAGAGAAGGCCAGAUGGGGGCUGGAUCAGGAAAGGCAGUUUCAGCUUUAGAAUGUUAUGGUGCUGCUCGGUGUGACUCUUGGGGUUUUAAGUUAUGUUUGAGAGUUCUUUGAACUCUUUCCCACCUCGACUCUCUGGAGGACUUGGACAGUAGCAGUGGGAGUCUCAGUUCAUGCCCACAGUACAAUUCUGGUUUGCCAUGGUGCUCAAGGGAGGUGGAGAGAAGGGUUCUGCUGUGCUUUGAUCUCUUGACCUGUAUUCCAAGCCUUUCUCUUGUUCCCUCAGGGAAUCUUCAGGCUCUCAAACCAGCUUCCCCUCUGCCGAGCUGCCAACGCAUGCUCCCUGAUGGAGGCCUCUUAACCAGCCCACUAGCACCGUCUCCUUCCCACUGAGGUUUCUGACUCACAGCUGCAGCAACGGCUGGCACCGUCAGAACACAUCUUGCAAAUUGCACUGGGGGCUGCCUCUCUGGUUUGCCCCCCUGGAUACCAGAUCCAAGACGACAGCCAGAACUGAGGUCUUCACAGGUGCUCCUCCUAGUUCCAGGAAGGUAACUCAGAAAUCAUCACCCUUUGCCUUUUCCCACAGCACCGUUAAACAGGGACGAGCAAGAAAUGGCCAAGUUUGACUGGAGCCAGCCCAGGACAGAGAAAUGUUCCUAUUGGCCACUCAUCCCUGACAGCGCGGUCAGUGUCCCAUGAAUGUCACGUGGGCCUCUCUCCAGACCUGGGGAUGAGCUGAGCUGCUGACAAGUGAAAAUGUUAUGGAACAAAAUGGCCGACACACUGAGAUUUAUCUGUUGACACACGGACAGGGAACACCCUGGGGAGGCCGAAGAAAGAGUUCUGUCUGCUGAACUGUGCCCACAGCCGCCUUCAGCCCAACAGCACCAGCUGCCAACACGCUGUGUCUCUGAUUCCUUUUCCCUUUCUGCAGUUUUUGCAACCCCAUAAUUGCCUUGGUAGAACUUAGAUGUUCUGACUGAAAUGGUCUUCCCAAUAAUUCUAGUCUCUUUUAGUGAGAAAUACUAUACAAAAAUUUGGGCUUCCCUGGUGGCUCAGUUGGU